ensembl:snoRNA
GCAUAGGUUUGGUGUUAUGGCAGCCCCAUUUCCCUGGAUCUCUUCUUACCAGUUCCUGUGUCAGAGCAGACUGGCUCCAAAUUAUUGCCUGGCCUCUGCAUCUAUAGGCUGCUGGCCCUGAAGGGUCGCACAGUU